AUUGAACGCUGGCGGCAGGCCUAACACAUGCAAGUCGAACGAGUGGCGGACGGGUGAGUAAUGUCUGGGAAACUGCCCGAUGGAGGGGGAUAACUACUGGAAACGGUAGCUAAUACCGCAUACCAUCGGAUGUGCCCAGAUGGGAUUAGCUAGUAGGUGGGGUAAUGGCUCACCAAGGCGACGAGCCCUAGCUGGGCUGAGAGGAUGACCAGCAAAACUGGAACUGAGACACGGUCCAGACUCCUACGGGAGGCAGCAGUGGGGAAUAUUGCACAAUGGGCGCAAGCCUGAUGCAGCCAUGCCGCGUGUAUGAAGAAGGCCUUCGGGUUGUAAAGUACUUUCAGCGGGGAGGCGUUACUCGCAGAAGAAGCACCGGCUAACUCCGUGCCAGCAGCCGCGGUAAUAC
rnacentral:rRNA from 1 species